rnacentral:rRNA from 1 species
CUACGUGCCAGCAGCCGCGGUAAUACGUAGGUCCCGAGCGUUGUCCGGAUUUAUUGGGCGUAAAGCGAGCGCAGGCGGUUAGAUAAGUCUGAAGUUAAAGGCUGUGGCUUAACCAUAGUACGCUUUGGAAACUGUUUAACUUGAGUGCAAGAGGGGAGAGUGGAAUUCCAUGUGUAGCGGUGAAAUGCGUAGAUAUAUGGAGGAACACCGGUGGCGAAAGCGGCUCUCUGGCUUGUAACUGACGCUGAGGCUCGAAAGCGUGGGGAGCAAACAGGAUUAGAUACCCUGGUAGUCCACGCCGUAAACGAUGAGUGCUAGGUGUUAGACCCUUUCCGGGGUUUAGUGCCGCAGCUAACGCAUUAAGCACUCCGCCUGGGGAGUACGACCGCAAGGUUGAAACUCAAAGGAAUUGACGGGGGCCCGCACAAGCGGUGGAGCAUGUGGUUAAUUCGAAGCAACGCGAAGAACCUUACCAGGUCUUGACAUCCCUCUGACCGCUCUAGAGAUAGAGUUUUC